GCUUAACACAUGCAAGUCGAGGGGCAGCAUGAACUUAGCUUGCUAAGUUUGAUGGCGACCGGCGCACGGGUGAGUAACACGUAUCCAACCUGCCGAUGACUCGGGGAUAGCCUUUCGAAAGAAAGAUUAAUACCCGAUGGCAUAGUUCUUCCGCAUGGUAGAACUAUUAAAGAAUUUCGGUCAUCGAUGGGGAUGCGUUCCAUUAGGUUGUUGGCGGGGUAACGGCCCACCAAGCCUUCGAUGGAUAGGGGUUCUGAGAGGAAGGUCCCCCACAUUGGAACUGAGACACGGUCCAAACUCCUACGGGAGGCAGCAGUGAGGAAUAUUGGUCAAUGGACGAGAGUCUGAACCAGCCAAGUAGCGUGAAGGAUGACUGCCCUAUGGGUUGUAAACUUCUUUUAUACGGGAAUAAAGUGAGGCACGUGUGCCUUUUUGUAUGUACCGUAUGAAUAAGGAUCGGCUAACUCCGUGCCAGCAGCCGCGGUAAUACGGAGGAUCCGAGCGUUAUCCGGAUUUAUUGGGUUUAAAGGGAGCGUAGGCGGACGCUUAAGUCAGUUGUGAAAGUUUGCGGCUCAACCGUAAAAUUGCAGUUGAUACUGGGUGUCUUGAGUACAGUAGAGGCAGGCGGAAUUCGUGGUGUAGCGGUGAAAUGCUUAGAUAUCACGAAGACUCCGAUUGCGAAGGCAGCUUGCUGGACUGUA
rnacentral:rRNA from 1 species